UAACAAGGUAGCCGUAGGGGAACCUGCGGCUGGAUCACCUCCUUG
rnacentral:rRNA from 1 species